rnacentral:rRNA from 1 species
ACUCAAAUGAAUUGACGGGGGCCCGCACAAGCGGUGGAGCAUGUGGUUUAAUUCGACGCGACGCGAAGAACCUUACCUAGCCUUGACAUAGUUGGAAUCUUGUAGAAAUACGAGAGUGCCGCAAGGAGCCGAUAUACAGGUGCUGCAUGGCUGUCGUCAGCUCGUGUCGUGAGAUGUUGGGUUAAGUCCCGUAACGAGCGCAACCCCUGUCGUUAAUUGCCAGCACAUCAUGGUGGGCACUUUAACGAGACUGCCGGUGAUAAACCGGAGGAAGGCGGGGAUGACGUCAAGUCCUCAUGGCCCUUAUGGCUAGGGCUACACACGUGCUACAAUGGUCGGUACAGAGGGUUGCAAAGCCGCAAGGUCAAGCUAAUCUCACAAAACCGAUCCCAGUCCGGAUUGUAGUCUGCAACUCGACUACAUGAAGUCGGAAUCGCUAGUAAUCGCGGAUCAGAACGCCGCGGUGAAUACGUUCCCGGGCCUUGUACACACCGCCCGU